rnacentral:snoRNA from 1 species
AAGAUUGAAGAUGAAGAACUCGUUUCUUACAUCCUGACCGGGCAUGAUCUGGACUAUGAUCCGGUCAUCUCAGCAAUAGCGGCACGAGUAGAGCCGAUCUCUGUCAGCGAGUUGUUUACACAACUUGUCAGUCAUGAAC